ACAAUGAAGGGUUUGAUCCUGGCUCAGGAUGAACGCUAGCGGCAGGCUUAACACAUGCAAGUCGAGGGGCAGCGCGUGAGUAGCAAUACUUAUGGCGGCGACCGGCGCAAGGGUGCGUAACGCGUGAGCAACCUGCCCGCAUCAGGGGGAAAACCGGCGGAAACGGCGGCUAAUCCCGCAUGGUCACCGGAGGGGGCAU
rnacentral:rRNA from 1 species